AUUGAACGCUGGCGGCAGGCCUAACACAUGCAAGUCGAACGAGUGGCGGACGGGUGAGUAAUGUCUGGGAAACUGGCUGAUGGAGGGGGAUAACUACUGGAAAAGGUAGCUAAUACCGCAUACCAUCGGAUGUGCCCAGAUGGGAUUAGCUAGUAGGUGGGGUAACGGCUCACCAAGGGGACGAUCCCUAGCUGGUCUGAGAGGAUGACCAGCCACACUGGAACUGAGACACGGCCCAGACUCCUACGGGAGGCAGCAGUGGGGAAUAUUGCACAAUGGGCGCAAGCCUGAUGCAGCCAUGCCGCGUGUAUGAAGAAGGCCUUCGGGUUGUAAAGUACUGUCAGCGGGGAGGCGUUACCCGCCGAGGAAGCCCCGGCUAACUCCGUGCCAGCAGCCGCGGUAAUUC
rnacentral:rRNA from 1 species